CGGAGGGGGCCAGCGUUGUUCGGAAUCAUUGGGCGUAAAGGGCGCGUAGGCGGCCGACCAAGUCGGAGGUGAAAUCCCUCGGCUCAACUGAGGAACUGCCUCCGAUACUGUUCGGCUUGAGUCCCGGAGAGGGUAGUGGAAUUCCGAGUGUAGCGGUGAAAUGCGUAGAGACUCGGAAGAACACCAGUGGCGAAGGCGGCUACCUGGACGGGUACUGACGCUGAAGCGCGAAAGCUAGGGGAGCAAACAGGAUUAGAUACCCUGGUAGUCCUAGCUGUAAACGAUGGGCACUUGGUGUUGCGGGUAUCGACCCCUGCAGUGCCGAAGCUAACGCAUUAAGUGCCCCGCCUGGGGAGUACGGUCGCAAGGCUG
rnacentral:rRNA from 1 species